UACGUAGGGUGCAAGCGUUAAUCGGAAUUACUGGGCGUAAAGCGUGCGCAGGCGGUAAUGUAAGACAGAUGUGAAAUCCCCGGGCUUAACCUGGGAAUGGCAUUUGGGACUGCAAGGCUUGAGUGCGGCAGAGGAGACUGGAAUUCCUGGUGUAGCAGUGAAAUGCGUAGAUAUCAGGAGGAAUACCGAUGGCGAAGGCAGGUCUCUGGGCUGACACUGACGCUCAUGCACGAAAGCGUGGGGAGCAAACAGG
rnacentral:rRNA from 1 species